rnacentral:rRNA from 1 species
CGGAGGUCACUGCUAUUGGGAUUCGGANUAAGCCNUGCGAGUCGAGAGGGUUUCGGNCCCUCGGCUGACGGCUCAGUAACACGUGGAUAAUCUGCCCUUAGGUGGAGGAUACCCUCGGGAAAACUGAGAAUAAUACUCCAUAGGUCUAGGAUGCUGGAAUGCACUUAGGCUGAAAGUUCCGGCGCCUAAGGAUGAGUCUGCGGACUAUCAGGUUGUAGUCAGGGUAAAGACCUGACUAGCCUACGACGGAUACGGGUUGUGAGAGCAAUAACCCGGAGAUGAUAUCUGAGACACGAUAUCAGGCCCUACGGGGCGCAGCAGGCGCGAAAACUUCACACUGUGCGAAAGCACGAUGAGGGAAUCCCAAGUGCCAGCUCGUAAGAGUUGGCUGUUUUUCUGUCUAAAACACAGAGAGAGUAAGAGCUGGGUAAGACGGGUGCCAGCCGCCGCGGUAAUACCUGCAGCUCAAGUGGUGGCCGCUAUUAUUGGGCCUAAAACGUCCGUAGCCGGUUUAGUAAAUGCCUGGGUAAAUCGUGUAGCUUAACUAUACGAAUUCCGGGUAGACUGCUGAACUUGAGACCGGGAGAGGCUAGAGGUACUCCUGGGGUAGAGGUGAAAUUCUGUAAUCCUAGGGGGACCACCAGUGGCGAAGGCGUCUAGCUAGAACGGAUCUGACGGUGAGGGACGAAGCCCUGGGGCGCGAACCGGAUUAGAUACCCGGGUAGUCCAGGGUGUAAACGCUGCUUGCUUGAUGUUAGUUGGGCUCCGAGCCCAAUUAGUGUCGGAGAGAAGUUGUUAAGCAAGCUGCCUGGGAAGUACGGUCGCAAGACUGAAACUUAA